AGAGCAAGCUCGAUCAGGGUCCUUACCUCCAGCCUGAACACUUGAAUUCCAAAUAAGCCGGCGCCCAGAGAGCAUUGCUCGAUCAGGAACCUUAACUCCGGCAAUCAACUGAACUCAGCCCAGAGAGCAAGCUCGAUCAGGGCAAACAAAUCCAUAAUAACCUUAUAUCCAUGAUCAUUACCGGUGCGCAUGCGGUCCUGAUGUAACCCAUCAGGCGGCAUGUUCUACAAGCCACAUUUCUCAAUUCGCAAUCAUCACAUAUAAUAAAUAUCAUUAUCUGAUGAACUCAACCAACACAUAUCGAAAUAAAGAUUAAAGAUUUAAGGUAAAACAACGUGCAAUUUGUGAGGGGAAAAAUAAUAACGCUUAUCUUAUUAUAACAUACUAAUAAUAAUAUUUAUAUUAUUUCAAAUAUUAAUAAUCAAGUGAAAUCAUUUAUCUUGCGAUACUAAUAAUCAUAUUA
rnacentral:lncRNA from 1 species